rnacentral:lncRNA from 1 species
UUCUCUUUCUCUCUCUCUAUCUCUUUCUCUUUCUUUUCUUUUAUUGUCCCUCGCUCUACCUUUUACCUCCCCUUGAAGAAAAGAAGAGGAUGUGCUUUAAUAAUUCGAGCUCCCUGAAUUUCUUCUUGCCUACCGGAGAUACUCUCUUCAUAUCAAGGUACCACUAAGAUCUUGGUGAAAAAAUGACGAAGAUAUAAUAAAUAGAUUAAUUAAUAUUAUAAAAUGAUAAUCAGAUCUUGAUUAAUGUGAUAACGCUGAAAAGAAUCCGAGUAGGAUCAGUAAUUUUCAGAGCAAUCAUCUCUCAAAUGAGAUGAAAUUACAAAUCUCUCUUGAUGAUUAACAAUCUCAUUCAAGAAGACACUUAAAUUACAUCUAUUUUCUCGAAUAAUAAUAAUAAUAAGGAUAAGUAAUAGUCUUCGAUAUUACCUACAAAUAACAAACAAGGCUCACAAUCAGUAAUGUACUUACUUACUUCGUAAAGAAAGCACUUUGAAUAUCUGGUUUCUUGAAAUCGUAGGCUAAGAGGUUGUUGCAAGAGUGAAGAAGAAUAAGGAAAAAACAAUAUGGGAAGGAUGUAAUAAAGUUACUGAAUAAAGGAUAUUAUGGUGCAUAUAUAUAUAUAUAACGAUUGAAAUACAAGGAUAUAGAAGCUACUAUAUAUUCUUUUUCUUUGAAGUUGGAAAGAAGAAAGAAGCCUGAAGGCAAAAAAUGUCGAGAAAAGUUCUUUUUCAUAAAUUAGAUGAAGAAGAUAAGAAAUGCGUAUAAAAGAAGAGUGUUCCAUCAAAAGGACCUUGACAUCGAGUGGUUAUCAGCUUGCUUUCUUCAACACUACGCCAUUCUCAUCUUCCUCCUCCUUCUGCUCAUCUUCUUUAAAGAAGAAACGACGCUUUGGAGUAGCCACACGUGCACGUAAGCGGCGAAAGUCGAUGCACACACGUUGCAUCGUACUACGUCUUACCAUACUGUACCAUUACUACACCAUGAGUCUUGUGAUGAGAAGGCGAGGGAGGAGGGAAGAAAAAGAGGAGGAGUUCGAAGAGAAAAAGAGAGAGAGAUGAGCAAACUGGAAAAAGAAAUGGCGGGGCGAGAGGAGAAGAGAAGGAGGAAAGGGAGAGAGCGGUUUUGCCCCUUUUGCCAGUUCUGCCUUUUUUUCUCGUCCUCUUCUUUCCUCAUCCACCGUCCUCCUCCUCUUCUUCUUCCUUCUCCUACUCCUCACACUCUUCUUCACCAUCUUUGCUGUAAAACAGGGACGGACCGACCAACUGACAGAGAGAAAUUUUACAUAUUUCUUUAGUUUACAUAUAUUUUAAGUAGAUAAAUUAUAUGUAACAAAGAUUGAUGUUUGGUAAAGCCGAGAAAAUUUAUUUAGGUAGGCAAAAGUAAUUUGUUUCUUCACAAUUUUAUUGUUUGCAGAUGUUUCUUUUUGUAGAUGGAUUUUUUAUUGAUAUUAGUGAGAUAAUUUGAUUGAUUAACAGACUGGAACAUUUUAAAUUGUUUGAUUAUGCAUAGACAUUAUCUUGAAAGAGAUAGAGUGCUCGUGUAUAAGUGCACGGUCAAUGAAUUCUAAGUCCAUUGAUGGUCAACGAGUUAGGAUAGUGAACCUAAUAUAUAUUUUUCUAAAUAUUUUUAGAACGACGUAGUCGUUAAUAUGAUAAAUUAUCAAAAUUUAUUUUGUACAUUUCUAUCUUACACAAGAGAAAAAAAGAAGGAUUGGUAAAACGGCUAAUCUCUACUCAUCUACCUCCCAUUACCGAAGUCGUCCUGACCGCGUCACCUCCUACUAGAGAAUCACAAAGUCAUCCCAUGCCAGUUGUAUUCCAAGACUCAUCUUGACACUUCUCCCUUUCUAUAUACCAGCGAGAACUUAUCGUCACGUAUUAUCGAUAACGAUUAUAAGGUGGUUCUUUAUAUAAAUGAUAUGAAUUAUUUGCGAAUAAUACAAAGCUGGCAUAUAUGUAUGUGUAUAUGUCAAUAUUUUAAAUACAUUAUGCAGGAUACCAAACACGUCUCAUGGAAAUGAAGAUGACUUGAAAUGUUACCGUUUUAACUGUUAAACGUCUAACGUUCGUGAAGAUCCGUUACACUUAGCUCUACUUUUCGUUGGCUUCUCUCUGUUCUUCUCACAUCGAAUGAAUUUAAGUCGAACGACAGGCAGGUGACGAGUCAAAUUACGGAAGUCAUUGAAGCACUGCGGUUAUGAACGUGCAAGUUACAUAUCUCUCGAAAGAAAGAAGAAAAGAGAGAGAAACAGAGAAGAAAUGGAAGACGUGCCACAACCACAUCCGUCGUUACAGCCGGCUUUACGUUUUCUUUGCUACACGAUAUCUCCUCUUUUUAUAUGCCUCUUCUCAUCCCCGUGAAGAAAAUGAAACAUCGAUUUUAUUCUCGUUAUCAAUCAAUCAAGCACUUAAUGUUCUAAGAAAACAAAAUUAAUCGAUAAACGAAGAAGGAUCUUGGCUGGAUUUAUUUCAUUUCGAGAAAUUGUUUGAAUUAAUAUAACAAUUGUAAAAACAAAAACAUGCUAUAACAACUAUGAGAAGAAAAAAAAUAAUACAAAACAAAAAAGAAAAGUAGGCCAAAGUUUCGAUCGGAUAAGAGCAACGAAAUAAGUUUAACACUUCGUAUCUCGUUGCUUGAGCGAGAUCAAUUACAUGGGUCGUUCCUUUUCUUCAGGUCCGAUCGGUGUAUGUAUCUGCUUCUUGCUAGCGCUGUGCGUCCCUCGUCUUCGAUCGAACUUCAAGUCAAACUCGUUCUCGACAACAGAGUAACAUGAAGAUGCGAGCCGGUGCUUCUUCGAUACGUUUGCAUUAAAAACAAAAAAAGAAUAUGAAGAAGAAGAAGAAUAAAAUGAUCCACCAAGAAGAUGAGCGAGAAAAUUGAAAAUUUUGGAAACUUUCUGGGGAUAAAACUGUUACAAGACAAUAAUCAAUGAAGUUGUAAGCGGUGUCUACCCUCUUAUCUAUUCAAAGAUAACAGGACUUGGAGAAAAUGAAGAAAGAAAAGAAAGAUAGAGAUAACAAAGAGAAGGAUGUUGAGGGGACAGACAGACAAAUAGAAAGACAGACAGACAGGCAGGCAGACCAUUUUAAAUUCUGAUUUCCAUAAAUAAAAACAUUACCCCCGGUAAAAGUUUAGCUUGGAGUUCAUUAACGUCACGUCUCUAUUAUUAUCACUGUUCUCUCACGUAAUAUCUAGCGGAAUUUCAAGCCGUGAGAUUUACUUAACUAUGUAAUGGGUAUGGUAAAGAGGGGUUCGAGUGAAGAAAACGAUCGGGAGAUUUCAAUUCAUUUGCCUAGCACGUCGUUGCAUUUUCUUUCCAUAAUUCACGAUCAUAUAGAAAUCUUCCUCAUUACAACCGCCCACGUUAUAUACGCUCACACCAUUGGAUUCGCCGAUUAUUUUAUAAACUCUUAGAGCGCGUUCCAGCGUUUCUCCUUGGAAGCCUAGUGUAAAGAAGUCGAAAGAGUCCUAAUGUAUAAAAAGUCUUCCCGCUGGUAAAUUAUAUCAAGGCUCGUAGAAGGAAUCACGGGUUGAAAUGAAAGAAAUGCAAGGAAGGAAAAACCUAACUACGCGGACUUACGUUCACAUUUGCAGUCAUUACGAAUGAUCCUUUACGUCCGCACAACGUGCUGAAGAAAAAAGAGGAAAAUAUAAAAAUUGUGAAAUAGAGGGAAUAAGUUUUUCAAAAUUAGAACCAUGUAUGUAUACGAAUUAAAAUACUCAAGCUACUUCCAACAAUAAUAUUCAAAUAAAAAAUGCAUAAGCAUAUUCGUGACAUUGUUAAAAGAAGACCGAUACAUUAUAACGAGGAUUAAAAGAUAGCGUUUAAUGCGACACGCGUGUCAACGUCGACGAAUAAUCUAUCUCUCUCACGCUAUCAUUCUAUCUCUAUCUUUCUCAUGUAAAUAGCUCCCUAACUCUGCGUAGGUGGAAUAAAAUCGUGCUCAAUACCUCUAA